UACGUAGGGUGCGAGCGUUAAUCGGAAUUACUGGGCGUAAAGCGUGCGCAGGCGGUCCGCUAAGACCGAUGUGAAAUCCCCGGGCUUAACCUGGGAACUGCAUUGGUGACUGGCGGGCUGGAGUAUGGCAGAGGGGGGUAGAAUUCCACGUGUAGCAGUGAAAUGCGUAGAGAUGUGGAGGAAUACCGGUGGCGAAGGCAGCCCCCUGGGCCAAUACUGACGCUCAUGCACGAAAGCGUGGGGAGCAAACAGG
rnacentral:rRNA from 1 species